UACGUAGGGUGCAAGCGUUAAUCGGAAUUACUGGGCGUAAAGCGUGCGCAGGCGGUUCGCUAAGACAGAUGUGAAAUCCCCGGGCUUAACCUCGGGAACUGCAUUUGUGACUGGCGGGCUAGAGUAUGGCAGAGGGGGUAGGAAUUCCACGUGUAGCAGUGAAAUGCGUAGAGAUGUGGAGGAGUACCGAUGGCGAAGGCAGCCCCCUGGGCCAAUACUGACGCUCAUGCACGAAAGCGUGGGGAGCAAACAGG
rnacentral:rRNA from 1 species